UACGGAGGAUGCAAGCGUUAUCCGGAAUUAUUGGGCGUAAAGCGUCCGCAGGUGGUUUUGAAAGUUUGCUGUCAAAGCGCGGAGCUUAACUUCGUACCGGCAGUGAAAACUCCAAGACUAGAGUUUGGUAGGGGUCACGGGAAUUCCCAGUGUAGCGGUGAAAUGCGUAGAGAUUGGGAAGAACACCAGCGGCGAAAGCGCGUGACUGGGCCUGAACUGACACUCAUGGACGAAAGCUAGGGGGAGCGAAAGGG
rnacentral:rRNA from 1 species